CCUAAUGAUUCCAUUAUAAUUGCGAUUAGCUGUGUUCUACUCUUGCCUUUUGCCCUACACGCGGUGUGCAUUAGCUAAUAUAAUUAAAAUAUCUGUGGCCCGCGGGAUGGAAAGCCUAAUGUGACGUGACGUAUAAGGGUUGGAUGUCGUCAGUACUUACUAGAAGAUGGCUGUUGUGAGUAACCUUCAUGACAGGGCUACGAGUCUUUAGAUCCGGCCUAUUGUGACGCAAAGGCCAAGUUGCCAUUGAAUGGGCAGAAGGGCUCGGAAGGUCGACUGUAUUUCUAUUGAAAGACACCUUUGACACUGACAAUAAAUUGGGGACUUGCCUUUAACAAAUACAAGGAGAAGACCUGGUCGCCCUGUACAUACUUGGCGAGUGAGAUGAGGGCUGCCAACGUGACCUGGAGUGAUGUCAAGGAGCAGGCGCAAGACAGAGACAACUUGUGAGGGCCCUAUGUACCAGCGGGGUACCCUAGGACUACAACAACAACAUCAACCUAAUUAUUAUUUAAUGAUGUUAGCCCAAUAUUAUCGUCGGUCUGUUUCUUAGCUCACAGUAUUAAAAUGUUUUGUUUCAUA